GGCUAACAUGGGUGGAAAUUUAUCCCGAAAAGGGACUAUGCUACUUUAGGGCCCUUAUAUUGCAUUAUCUGUGUCAUGCUUACAGAUGUAUAUUCUUGCUGAAACCAAAUGAAUAAAAGAACGUAUUUUGUGUUUGAAGUCGAGCUAUUAGCCAUUUUUCGAGUAAAAUUAUGGGUUCAUGUCUCAAUUACAAGCUUAUAUGGAUAGGACACAAAAAAUGAAAUUACUAAGACUGAAUGAGGAGUAUGGUGAACCUG
rnacentral:lncRNA from 1 species